CCUACGGGAGGCAGCAGUAGGGAAUAUUGGGCAAUGGACGGAAGUCUGACCCAGCCAUGCCGCGUGCAGGAAGAAGGUCCUCUGGAUUGUAAACUGCUUUAGACGGGGAAGAAUAAGGAUCAUGCGUGAUCUGAUGACGGUACCCGUAGAAUAAGCACCGGCUAACUACGUGCCAGCAGCCGCGGUAAUACGUAGGGUGCGAGCGUUGUCCGGAUUUAUUGGGUUUAAAGGGUGCGUAGGCGGGAGAGUAAGUUCGCUUUUAAAGCCGGCCGCUUAACGGUCAGGUAGGGGGUCGGAUACUGCUUUUCUUGAGAGGGCUCGGGGCUGGCGGAAUUUGUGGUGUAGCGGUGAAAUGCAUAGAUACCACAAGGAACACCGAUCGCGUAGGCAGCCAGCCAGGGCCUUUCUGACGCUGAGGCACGAAAGUGCGGGGAGCAAACAGGAUUAGAUACCCUGGUAGUCCGCACUGUAAACGAUGCAUACUCGGUGUCGGCUCGUUAGAGCCGGUGCCUGAGGGAACCGAUAAGUAUGCCACCUGGGGAGUACGCCGGCAACGGUGAAACCUUAAAGGAAUUGACGG
rnacentral:rRNA from 1 species